GUUAAGACAGUUCCCUCACAAGAUCUGCACAGACUUAGUCCUAAAGCACUUGAUAAAAACACCUCUUUCUGACUGGGUCACAUGGUCUGUUCAACAGACAUCUUCAGCAUGGGUUUCAGUCCGUGGGGGACUCUGAAAUGGUCCCCCACUCCCCCUAAAGUGCACCACUACUUACCAGGGCCAAGACAACAGCUCAUUACACGGUUAACACAUUUGGCUUGGGGUGCUCCCUGGUCCUUCACCUGCACCGCCUCUCAAGCGUCCCCGGUCACGGGCUGUGCGUCGGGGGGAACACACUCUUCCUCUUCGACCCCUUCGCUGUGGUUCCUAAGUGUUACUGUCAGAGGGUUGUGUUGUGGUCUCCUCUAAUUGGUCCAUCAUCAUCCACCGAAGGCCCCGGGCUGAACUCAGCUGACUUCUUAGGACCAAACCAUUUCUUCCCCAUUUCGGGGUUUUUCCACUCUCAUUGGCAUGUAGAAAUGUUGUUUUAAAACGCAUUGAACCAAAAAACAGACUAUGACAGUCUGUAAUAAACAGAUUACAAUGAACAGAAUAUAAUAAAUAGGCUAUAAUAAACAGGCUGUAAUUAAAAGACUACAAUAAACAGACUAAAAUUAACUGACUAUAAUAAACAAAUGAUGGUAAGUAAACAAAUUAUGCUAGUUGUAAUAAACCUGUUUAUUAAAUGUUGGACUGAUUGUCCGACUUUAUUAGACAGUUCUGCUUACAGUCUCUGUAUUCUUUAUGUAAUACACUACUUUAAAAUGCAGAAUGUUUAAACAAUAAGGCCCAAAUGGAUGGGGUAUAUGGUCAGUAUAUGUUUAAUAUGCAGUACCAUGUCUGUGCUUAGGUACGACACAUUGCAGAGUGCCUAGAUACUGCUCAAAGCUGUGGUGUAUUGCCAAUAUAACAAACCCCAAAACUGUAUUGCUAUUAUUACUUUCAGUGAUAAGGUACAGUAUGCAAUAGCACACAUGUUGGAUAUGGUCUCAUAUACCACAGCUUUUAGCCAAUCAGCACUGAGUAUUUAAACCGUCCAACUCUGGACAUUGUGUUCGACUCUGCAGCAAGAGACAUCUAGCGGAACCAAGAAAAAGGUCAGCAACUGUGACAACGUAAGUCAUUGUAUUUUUAAAGGCUUGUGGGGUAUAACAAUAUGAUUUUGGACAGAACAGCUGAUGGAAAUAGUGUAUUAACAAAAAAGUGUUAGCCAUAUAGCUUUACACACACACACACCCAAACUCACAUGCAAACACAGAAACCCAUCCACCGCACAAACACACUGUUAUCUGAGUAAGCUAAUAUGAGUGUUAAAGCCUAAUUACAGAUGAACCAAUGACAGGGCUCCCUUCCUGAAACCUGCUUAGCAUCGACUAGACUUUAAUCUAGCUAAGAAAAACCCCUAGAGGGAGAGAGGAGAGGAGAGAGAGGAGAGGAGAGAGAGGAGUGAGAAUAAAAAGAGGGGACGGAGGAGAGGGAUAGAGGAGAAGAAGGAGAGAGGAGAGAGAAUAGAAGAGCGGAGAGGAAGGGAGAAGGAAGGAAGGGGUAAGGGGAGAGAGAGAGAAAAAGAGGGAGGCAAGGAGGAAGAGUCUGGGGCCAGUCAAAAAAAGGGAUGAAGAGAUAUGGAAAGAACAACAGUGAGGGACCAACAUUUAGAUUUUCUGUAAACAUUAACAGUCAAGUAAGCAGAUCUGCAAAGUGCUGGAGGAGUGUGUGUGUUUAGAAAUAAUCCCUCCGCAUCCCUCCACAAACAGAGGCUGAACUCGGACGUCUGCAACUGCAUUAACUGCAUAACGGACGGACAACAUCGUGCAUUAACACGUGCCUUCCCGAACCACAACCCCAAUCAUUAUCUUUCAAAACGGACAAUCCCAAUCACUUUUAUUCGCUUAGUACAUGUACAGAUAGCACUACUUAGCCUAAGUUCUCGGGGGAAUAGUGCUUCUUGUGGUAGACAGGUUAUCAGCUGUUACUGUAGCGGGAGCGGACUGCUGUUGACUGCAGUGGGUGUACGAUGACGACAUCGCUGUGGAAGGUGAGGGCCUCCUUCAUGAAUUAAUGUUGUUUUUGUAUUGACGUGGACAUUUUAAAUGUGCCUGUUGCUUAGAAGGGAGCAAUAUUGUUGUGUGGAAUGUCAUGAAAACGUUUUUACAAAAAGAAAAAAAAAGAAAAUCUGUUUUCGUGUUAAACUUAAUUACAGGUGUGUGUUCUUGGCAGUGGCCAAAUGCAUUGUCCUAUAUUUUAUAUUUUGUCGACCCCCCGUGUCUAUAUAAAGCUACUGCAGCUUUGGCCGACAUAUGCGCAUUUGCCGUGCUAUUUUAAAUUCAUGAACACGUUUUCGUUAGACCAAUAAGAAAUAAGUUUACUUGCCCUCUAAAGGGAUUACUUCCGGCCAUACUGUCCACCGCUCGCUCGUCGAAAUCAAAAUGUAUGAAGUGGAUAUUUUCCGCGCUUCAAGAUAGUACAAUCAUUUAUGAAUUAAUGUCUACUUGUACUGUUUUGAUACGUUGUCUUGUGUCCUCUGCAUUUAAUAAUAUCCGCUUCAAAGGGUUGUUGCGUUAGCUAGCUAGCUGGAAAACAGAGUUGCGAUCUAAUCGAAAGACACUUUC
rnacentral:lncRNA from 1 species